AUUGAACGCUGGCGGCAUGCCUUACACAUGCAAGUCGAACGGCAGCACGGGAGCAAUCCUGGUGGCGAGUGGCGAACGGGUGAGUAAUAUAUCGGAACGUGCCCAGUCGUGGGGGAUAACGUAGCGAAAGCUACGCUAAUACCGCAUACGAUCUAUGGAUGAAAGCGGGGGAUCGCAAGACCUCGCGCGAUUGGAGCGGCCGAUAUCAGAUUAGGUAGUUGGUGAGGUAAAGGACUCACCAAGCCGACGAUCUGUAGCUGGUCUGAGAGGACGACCAGCCACACUGGGACUGAGACA
rnacentral:rRNA from 1 species